AGAUUUCUCCCUCCCCUCUCUCCUGCGUUUUAAGCAAAGAGACAUCCUAAAAUAGGGCAUUUUUUUCCUCUUCCUUUUUUUUUUGACAGACAACUUCUGUGUAAAUGUUGAAAUCUGUGUUGUCUGUUAGAAGCAGUCAAUCUGAAAACUUUGCUGAAGAGAAUGUAUAUUUAGUAACGGGUGACAAAGAGAGGAAGAUAUUGAGAUGUCAAUUAUUCUGCAUCUUUCAGAGGGCCUGGCGACAGGAACUAAUCCAAAAAGCACGUGUUGGUUAAAUGGAUGGGAAGGACAGGUUCUCAGGCAUCUUGGAGCAGAGCCCAAGUCCUGCUGCCUGAGGCCAUUGGAACCAGACAGUCAUUUCAUCACGUCACUCAGACUCGGUCUCCCCACCUGCAAAAAUGAGAGACGGGACACCUGUGUUCACAGCAGCAUUUUGCACAAUGGCCAGAAGAUGGAGGCUCCCAGGUGAGCAUCGGCAGAUGGAUGGGGGAAGAAAGGCAGUCCAUCCAUGCGAUGGAGUAGUAGUCAGCCUCAAAAAGGAAAGAAACGCUGACACAUGCUACCACCUGGAUGAACCCUAAGGAUGGCAAACGAAGUGAGGGAAGUCAGUUACAAAAAGCAAAUGGGCUAGGGUAUGAUUCUACUCAUAUGAGGUGUUUACAAGAGUCUCAUUUAUAGAUACAAAGAGUAAAAUGGUGGUUGCUAGGUCUGGAGGGAGAGGAAAUGGGGUAUUGUGAUUCAACAGGCAUGAAGCUUCUGUCUUGUAAGAUAAAAAAUGUUCUGUGGAAGGAUGUUGGUGAUGGCUGCACAACUGUGUGAAUACAUCUAACACAGCUGACCAGUGCACUUGGAAAUGGUGAGGAUGGUUCGCUUUAUUCAUGUGUGUGUGUGUGUGUGUGUAUAUAUAUAUAUAUAUAUAUUUUUUUUUUUUUUUUACCACAGUUAAAAACAGAAAAUAAAGGAAAAUUUUUAAAAAUAGAAGAGAGGAGA
rnacentral:lncRNA from 1 species